CAGAGAUAUCGGUCAGCUCAGGGAAUGAGCCUGGCUCAUGCCCCUACGUGGAUUAACCAACUUUUCCGAGCUGAUUAAUGGUUUGACAGAAGAACUGCCUGGAGAGCAGCUGAAUUCCCACAGCAAAAUUCCUGACUGAGGGAAACGACCUUGGGUUCCUCCCCUUCCCGUAAAGCCUGGGAAAUCUGGGAAAAUCACAGCUCCAAAGGAGCUGCUCCCCUCGCCCCCGGAUUCAAAGAGAAAUGGAGAAACACUUGAGGAAGUUUUGAGAUAAAACCACUGCAGAGAAAAUUGAAAUGAGCCCUUCAGCCCUUUUUUUGUGUGGUAUUUAGGAUGCAAGGGAAAGAAUGGCUGGGUAAUCCCUGGGAUGAGGGAACAGCACGGCUGAGGUCCCAGAUUUCGAGGCCAGGUAAUGGCUGGAACAAAACAUUAAUAUGGACUUUUCUUUAAAAGCAAAAGCUUUGAAAAUUAGGAAUAGAACAGAAACUCUCAUUAAUUCAGGACUGUACAGAGCCUAAAGCCUCCUUAGGUUUUCAGCUCAAAGCAACUUUCUUCUACAUGGGGCCAUAAACAGAUUUUUUCUGGCUUUUUAAAGCUGUUUCCUCUACUAAAAUCCAUUCAGCUGUCAAUCCAUCCUCCCUCAGAAGGUGUCAGUGCAAUCUACCUGAAAUUUAAAAAAAAGCCCAGGGAAGAAGAUCUUAUCUCCCAGAUGGAGAAUGGGACAGGAGGAAUAAUAAAAGUGAAAGUGAUUCACCAGGACUGGUGAUGAAAAAAUCCGUGAUGGAAUCAAGAUUAGGAUCUUAAUCUGCUCCCUUCUUUCCACCUUGCCCCAGAUCUGGGGCAGCUCUUGCUGGGCUGGAUCCAGGAUCACUGAAAGCAAAGUGCCAAAGGCUUCCAGGAACUUCAAACUCAGAAAAAAUCCCCCCCGCUCUGCCUGAAAUAGGAAUAUUAGGUUUAAAAUGGGCCUUUUGUUACAGGGCUGGAAUGAGGGAGUCACCUAGCAAGGACUGAAAACACAUCUGAGGAUCAGCAGAGGAAAAAGCAGCUUUUUCCUGCUGUCUGCAGGUCAGAGCUCUUUAAAUUGGGGCUGUUAAAUGUCCCUGGCCACAGGAGAUUGGGGAAGCAGAGGUGAAGGGAAAAAAUCCUCUUUAUUCCCUGAUUGGUCCCUGAGCUUGGGCUGCUCCAAAAUGCAGCCCCAGAAAAAGAAGAAGCAGAGAGAGUGAAUUUGUGCCUGCAGGGAGGGGCCUAAAGCCUCCUUAGGUUUUCAGCUCAAAGCAACUUUCUUUUUCAUGGGGCCAUAAACAGAUUUUGAACUGCCUUUUUCACCUUCCUUCCUUUGUUCAUUUUUACCUUUCUACCUUUGUUUGUUUCUGUAGCAGCUUGGAAAAAACCAAACAGAGACCACUGUUUCUUCAGGCAGGAUCUCUCUUUAUUACACAAGCCCCAGUAUUUCUGUGUUUCUAUUUUGGGAAAGUUUUAAGAGAGUUUUGGGAAUGGGCACAGGGAAAGACAAAACAGAUCCAUGCCCACACACUUGUCAGGGCAGACUUUCUGCCCCUUCUAGGCCACUGACUCAGACAUGAAACCCCCCAGCUUUCUGGGAGGUGA